GCCUGAUUAGCAUAAAAGUAAUGCAGCUGUUUUGUAACCAGCUGAAGCAAGCGCGAUACUUGCAUUGGGCU
rnacentral:tRNA from 1 species